rnacentral:misc_RNA from 1 species
CAGAGAUCAUGCCCCUCGGGGUAGACCUCCCACCCUGUGUUAUUUACUCUUUGUUGCUUUGGCAGGCCGCCUUUUGGCCCCCGGCUUUCGGCUGGGGCGCGCCUGCCGGAGGACCCCCAUCUUCUGAAUGUUUACGUGUCGUCUGAGCAUUAUAUAAUAAGUUA